GACGAACCGUACGAACGUUAUUCGGAAUCACUGGGCUUAGAGGGUGCGUAGGCGGCGCAGUAAGUUGGGUGUGAAAUCCCUCGGCUUAACCGAGGAAUUGCGCCCAAAACUACUGUGCUCGAGGGAGGUAGAGGUGAGCGGAACUUAGGGUGGAGCGGUGAAAUGCGUUGAUAUCCUAAGGAACACCGGUGGCGAAAGCGGCUCACUGGACCUCUUCUGACGCUGAGGCACGAAAGCUAGGGUAGCAAACGGG
rnacentral:rRNA from 1 species